GAUGAACGCUGGCGGCGUGCCUAAUACAUGCAAGUCGAGCGAACGGACGAGAAGCUUGCUUUUCUGAUGUUAGCGGCGGACGGGUGAGUAACACGUGUAUAACCUACCUAUAAGACUGGGAUAACUUCGGGAAACCGGAGCUAAUACCGGAUAAUAUUUUGAACCGCAUGGUUCAAAAGUGAAAGACGGUCUUGCUGUCACUUAUAGAUGGAUCCGCGCUGCAUUAGCUAGUUGGUAAGGUAACGGCUUACCAAGGCAACGAUGCAUAGCCUACGUGAGAGGGGGAUCGGCCACACUGGAACUGAGACACGGAACAGACUCCUACGGGAGGCAGCAGUAGGGAAUAUUCCGCAAUGGGCGAAAGCAUGACGGAGCAAAGCCGCGUGAGAGAUGAAGGUAUUAGGAUCGGAAAAAUCUGUUAUUAGGGAAGAACAUAUGUGUAAGUAACUGUGCACAUCUUGACGGUAACUAAUCAGAAAGCAACGGCUAACUACGUG
rnacentral:rRNA from 1 species